rnacentral:rRNA from 1 species
AAGGUAACGGCUUACCAAGGCAACGAUGCAUAGCCGACCUGAGAGGGUGAUCGGCCACACUGGAACUGAGACACGGUCCAGACUCCUACGGGAGGCAGCAGUAGGGAAUCUUCCGCAAUGGGCGAAAGCCUGACGGAGCAACGCCGCGUGAGUGAUGAAGGUCUUCGGAUCGUAAAACUCUGUUAUUAGGGAAGAACAUAUGUGUAAGUAACUGUGCACAUCUUGACGGUACCUAAUCAGAAAGCCACGGCUAACUACGUGCCAGCAGCCGCGGUAAUACGUAGGUGGCAAGCGUUAUCCGGAAUUAUUAGGCGUAAAGCGCGCGUAGGCGGUUUUUUAAGUCUGAUGUGAAAGCCCACGGCUCAACCGUGGAGGGUCAUUGGAAACUGGAAAACUUGAGUGCAGAAGAGGAAAGUGGAAUUCCAUGUGUAGCGGUGAAAUGCGCAGAGAUAUGGAGGAACACCAGUGGCGAAGGCGACUUUCUGGUCUGUAACUGACGCUGAUGUGCGAAAGCGUGGGGAUCAAACAGGAUUAGA